CCUGAUGUUAAAAGCAAUUUUUUUUAAAGUUGGUCAGGCUGCUGAAGUGUAUAAAGCUAACUCAGAUAUUAGGAAGAUCUGCAUUAAGGUGAUGUGUAAAAACAAAUGGUUAUAACUGUGAAUGUGCCUGUGUGUGAGGUGUGGUUAUUAAAUGGAUGGUCACCAAACUUGCAGCAGUUGCUAUAAAUAAAUAGCAGUAAUCUUUAGACUCCUUACUGGCUGUUUGUCUUGGCUUUAGUAGGUAGCCCUGGGCUAGCAGGUACCACUGGUAUCCUACUGAGAGGAGAGGCAGCUGCUGAUCAUUUUGGCUGGUCUGUUGUGAAAUAGAAAUGCUCCUUCUCAGAGCACACUGCUCCUUCGAAGUUGCCCCUACCAGGCAGUCAUAGCACCAAAUGCCAGCCUGGAGCAAAGCAGUCUCACACAAUGCAAAGCCUGCCAUCCUUUACUGCAGAGUUGUAAACACCGAGACCUCUAACGUGAUUUUGGCAGAUCCUGACAUGAGAUAUUAGCAAUUAAGAUCCUGUCCCUUUUCUGUUCCCCCUUGUGCCUCCCUCCUCCCACAUGCAUUUUCCCUCGCUCCCUUUACAUGUCCCAGCCGAGCUGGCAGCUGGUGCUGGGAAGCUGUGAGCUCAUGAGCUCACUCCCGGCUGGCGUGCUGGCCUAUGAAUAGCUCAGCCUCCGCUGAAGCUGCUCUGUGCCUCAGGAUGUUGCCAGCCACGUAGGUUUAACAACUGGAUGUAUGCAGAUAAAAUAAAAACAUGCCUAGAUGCUCCCUUUGGAAUUAAGGUUUUUCAGUGUAAGAGGAGGUAAAGUACCUGAGCUUACAAUAUCUGUCAAGAGUUCUCUAGACAAGGGUUUAAGCAAAGAUAGAUUUUUCCUUUAAAAGGAAGGGGACUUGUACUUUCAGAUUUGCUUUUAAAAAUGGCCUUGCAACAAUAAUAAUCCCAGUGUGAAGCUCGCAUUGAAACGCCUCCUUGUGAGCUGUGACUCACGCUUUGAAAGCAUCACAGCUUUCCUAGAAGGAUAGGUAAGUUCUGCUGUCGCCAGAUGGGGAGUCACAGGAUGGGAGAUGUUGCUCUGAGUUCCCAGAAGCAUCCACUAGAUAGAUGUUGGAAACUCAAGACAUUUAUGUUUAAUUUGCAGAGUGCCAAAAGCCCCACAGCUUUUCUGAAUAGUGACACCUAAUUGUGUUAAAAUCAAAGCUGUACUGUAGGAGGCAGAAGUGAUGGAAUGGGACAACUGGGUAAGGUGGCAUGAGCUGAUGGAGAUUUUCUGAUAGAGAAUGUAUAAGACCCUGGGAAUUUUCGUCAGGUUCACAGUCAGACUUCUUGAUUGAAAUCUGUUUCCUUUGCAAAGAGCUCUUCAUAUUUUCGUAAAUGCUAAAAUAAUAAGCCUUAUGGAGAAAAUGCAGGAACUUCCACUUCUAGAAAACCAUGAAGAAGACAGCAAGUUGAAGUUCUUGUGGUGAUGGAGAGGAGGGAGGGAGAGUGCUGUUUAGACCAUCUAGGAAAUAGUUUAGCAUUACCACAUGGCAAGAUGUAGGAUUUGGUCAGUAUUGAAUCAUACAUUACUUACAUACAUACAUACUAGGAUCAAAUCUGAACAGUUAAAGGCAAUUUUGUGUAUAAUUAAAGAAAUAUUCUGUC